rnacentral:rRNA from 1 species
AAAUUGAAGAGUUUGAUCAUGGCUCAGAUUGAACGCUGGCGGCAGGCCUAACACAUGCAAGUCGAACGGUAACAGGAAGAAGCUUGCUUCUUUGCUGACGAGUGGCGGACGGGUGAGUAAUGUCUGGGAAACUGCCUGAUGGAGGGGGAUAACUACUGGAAACGGUAGCUAAUACCGCAUAACGUCGCAAGACCAAAGAGGGGGACCUUCGGGCCUCUUGCCAUCGGAUGUGCCCAGAUGGGAUUAGCUAGUAGGUGGGGUAACGGCUCACCUAGGCGACGAUCCCUAGCUGGUCUGAGAGGAUGACCAGCCACACUGGAACUGAGACACGGUCCAGACUCCUACGGGAGGCAGCAGUGGGGAAUAUUGCACAAUGGGCGCAAGCCUGAUGCAGCCAUGCCGCGUGUAUGAAGAAGGCCUUCGGGUUGUAAAGUACUUUCAGCGGGGAGGAAGGGAGUAAAGUUAAUACCUUUGCUCAUUGACGUUACCCGCAGAAGAAGCACCGGCUAACUCCGUGCCAGCAGCCGCGGUAAUACGGAGGGUGCAAGCGUUAAUCGGAAUUACUGGGCGUAAAGCGCACGCAGGCGGU